UACGUAGGAUCCAAGCGUUAUCCGGAAUUACUGGGCGUAAAGCGUACGUAGGUGGAUGUUUAAGUGAGAUGCGAAAUCUGGCGGCUCAACCGUCUAGACUGUGUCUCAUACUGGGCAUCUUGAGGUUGACAGAGGCAAGUGGAAUUUCCGGUGUAGCAGUGAAAUGCGUAGAUAUCGGAAGGAACACCAAUGGCGAAGGCAGCUUGCUGGGCCACACCUGACACUGAGGUACGAAAGCGUGGGGAGCGAACAGG
rnacentral:rRNA from 1 species